rnacentral:rRNA from 1 species
CACGUGAGCAACCUGCCCUUGACUUCGGGAUACCAGCUGGAAACAGCUGCUAAUACCGGAUAUGACCUUGUCUCGCAUGAUUCGAGGUGGAAAGCUCCGGCGGUCAGGGAUGGGCUCGCGGCCUAUCAGCUUGUUGGUGAGGUGAUGGCUCACCAAGGCUUCGACGGGUAGCCGGCCUGAGAGGGCGACCGGCCACACUGGGACUGAGAUACGGCCCAGACUCCUACGGGAGGCAGCAGUGGGGAAUAUUGCACAAUGGGCGCAAGCCUGAUGCAGCAACGCCGCGUGCGGGAUGACGGC